GAUGAACGCUAGCGGCAGGCUUAACACAUGCAAGUCGAACGGUAACAUUUCUUGCUUGCAAGAAGAUGACGAGUGGCGCACGGGUGCGUAACGCGUAUACAACCUGCCUUGAACAAAGGGAUAGCCCAUGGAAACGUGGAUUAAUACCUUAUAAUAUCUAGACAUAGCAUUAUGACUAGAUCAAAGAUUUAUCGGUUCAAGAGGGGUAUGCGUGACAUUAGCUAGUUGGUGAGGUAACGGCCCACCAAGGCUACGAUGUCUAGGGGUUCUGAGAGGAUGAUCCCCCACACUGGUACUGAGACACGGACCAGACUCCUACGGGAGGCAGCAGUGAGGAAUAUUGCGCAAUGGAGGAAACUCUGACGCAGCCAUGCCGCGUGAAGGAAUGAAUGCCCUAUGGGUUGUAAACUUCUUUUAUAUGGGAAGAAAUAUAGAUACGUGUAUUUAUUUGACGGUACCAUACGAAUAAGACCGCUAACU
rnacentral:rRNA from 1 species